rnacentral:rRNA from 1 species
GUGGGGAAUUUUGGACAAUGGGCGCAAGCCUGAUCCAGCAAUGCCGCGUGCAGGAAGAAGGCCUUCGGGUUGUAAACUGCUUUUGUACGGAACGAAACGGUCCUGGUUAAUACCUGGGGCUAAUGACGGUACCGUAAGAAUAAGCACCGGCUAACUACGUGCCAGCAGCCGCGGUAAUACGUAGGGUGCGAGCGUUAAUCGGAAUUACUGGGCGUAAAGCGUGCGCAGGCGGUGCUGUAAGACGGGCGUGAAAUCCCCGGGCUCAACCUGGGAAUUGCGCUUGUGACUGCAGUGCUGGAGUACGGCAGAGGGGGAUGGAAUUCCGCGUGUAGCAGUGAAAUGCGUAGAUAUGCGGAGGAACACCGAUGGCGAAGGCAGUCCCCUGGGCCUGUACUGACGCUCAUGCACGAAAGCGUGGGGAGCAAACAGGAUUAGAAACCCUUGUAGUCC